rnacentral:rRNA from 1 species
UACGAGGGGGGCAAGCGUUGUUCGGAAUUAUUGGGCGUAAAGGGCGCGUAGGCGGUGCGGUAAGUCACCUGUGAAAUCUCCGGGCUUAACUCGGAGCCUGCAGGCGAAACUGCCGUGCUUGAGUGUGGGAGAGGUGCGUGGAAUUCCCGGUGUAGCGGUGAAAUGCGUAGAUAUCAAGAGGAACACCUGAGGUGAAGACGGGUUGCUGGGCUGACACUGACGCUGAGGCGCGAAAGCCAGGGGAGCAAACGGG